AAUUACGCUGGCGGCAUGCCUAACACAUGCAAGUCGCACGAGAAAGCCCCUUUUUCCGGGGGGCGAGUAAAGUGGCGCACGGGUGAGUAACGCGUGGAUAAUCUACCUCUUUCUGGGGGAUAACGCACCGAAAGGUGCGCUAAUACCGCAUAUUCCGGUUGGUUUUCGGAUCGAUCGGUAAAGGUGGCCUCUUCUUGAAAGCUACCGGGAAGGGAUGAGUCCGCGUCCCAUUAGCUAGUUGGUGGGGUAAAGGCCCACCAAGGCGACGAUGGGUAGCUGGUCUGAGAGGACGAUCAGCCACACUGGAACUGGAACACGGUCCAGACUCCUACGGGAGGCAGCAGUGAGGAAUAUUGCGCAAUGGGGGGAAACCCUGACGCAGCGAUGCCGCGUGAGUGAAGAAGGCCUUCGGGUCGUAAAGCUCUGUCAAGCGGGAAGAACAGCGGCGGGACGAAUAAUCCCGUCGUGUGACGGUACCGCUGAAGGAAGCACCGGCUAACUCCGUGCCAGCAGCCGCGGUAA
rnacentral:rRNA from 1 species